rnacentral:pre_miRNA from 1 species
GAUUUCAACUAAAAAAGUCAUCAAGAACAAAGUUGUAUAACUCAUCGAGAUAUAUAACUUUUAUUUUGGUCAUUUCUUCAUCCGACAAAGUGAUAGUAACAUUGUUCAUAAAAUUUACACAUCUCUUAUAUGGUUUUAUAAAAUAAAAGAGAGAUAUGUAAUUUUUGUGAAAAUGUUACUAUCACUUUGUUGGAUGAAGAAAUGACCAAAACAAAAGUUAUAGAUCAUGAUGAGUUAUACAACUUUGCUGUUGAUGACCUCUUCAGCUGAAGUU